AACGAACGCUGGCGGCGUGCUUAACACAUGCAAGUCGAACGCGAAAGGGACUUCGGGUCCUGAGUAAAGUGGCGCACGGGUGAGUAACGCGUAGAUAACCUGUCUUCAUGUCUGGAAUAAUACGCCGAAAGGGGUACUAAUACCGGAUAUUCUUGCUUUUCAUAAGUUAUGCAAGCAAAGGUGGCCUCUGCAUAUGCUACUGCAUGAAGAGGGGUCUGCGUACCAUUAGCUAGUAGGUGGGGUAAUGGCCUACCUAGGCGACGAUGGUUAGCGGGUCUGAGAGGAUGAUCCGCCACACUGGCACUGGAACACGGGCCAGACUCCUACGGGAGGCAGCAGUGAGGAAUAUUGCGCAAUGGGGGAAACCCUGACGCAGCGACGCCGCGUGAGUGAAGGAAGGCCUUCGGGUCGUAAAGCUCUGUCAAGAGGAAAGAAGUGUACAAUGGCUAAUACCUGUUGUAUUUGACGGUACCUCUAAAGGAAGCACCGGCUAACUCCGUGCCAGCAGCAGC
rnacentral:rRNA from 1 species